GAUGAACGCUGGCGGCGUGCCUAAUACAUGCAAGUCGAGCGAACGGACGAGAAGCUUGCUUCUCUGAUGUUAGCGGCGGACGGGUGAGUAACACGUGGAUAAUCUACCUAUAAGACUGGGAUAACUUCGGGAAACCGGAGCUAAUACCGGAUAAUAUUUUGAACCGCAUGGUUCAAAAGUGAAAGACGGUCUUGCUGUCGCUUAUAGAUGGAUCCGCGCUGCAUUAGCUAGUUGGUAAGGUAACGGCUUACCAAGGCAACGAUGCAUAGCCGACCUGAGAGGGUGAUCGGCCACACUGGAACUGAGACACGGUCCAGACUCCUACGGGAGGCAGCAGUAGGGAAUCUUCCGCAAUGGGCGAAAGCCUGACGGAGCAACGCCGCGUGAGUGAUGAAGGUCUUCGGAUCGUAAAACUCUGUUAUUAGGGAAGAACAUAUGUGUAAGUAACUGUGCACAUCUUGACGGUACCUAAUCAGAAAGCCACGGCUAACUACGUG
rnacentral:rRNA from 1 species